rnacentral:rRNA from 1 species
GAUGAACGCUGGCGGCGUGCCUAAUACAUGCAAGUCGAGCGAACGGACGAGAAGCUUGCUUCUCUGAUGUUAGCGGCGGACGGGUGAGUAACACGUGGAUAACCUACCUAUAAGACUGGGAUAACUUCGGGAAACCGGAGCUAAUACCGGAUAAUAUUUUGAACCGCAUGGUUCAAAAGUGAAAGACGGUCUUGCUGUCACUUAUAGAUGGAUCCGCGCUGCAUUAGCUAGUUGGUAAGGUAACGGCUUACCAAGGCAACGAUGCAUAGCCGACCUGAGAGGGUGAUCGGCCACACUGGAACUGAGACGCGGUCCAGACUCCUACGGGAGGCAGCAGUAGGGAAUCUUCCGCAAUGGGCGAAAGCCUGACGGAGCAACGCCGCGUGAGUGAUGAAGGUCUUCGGAUCGUAAAACUCUGUUAUUAGGGAAGAACAUAUGUGUAAGUAACUGUGCACAUCUUGACGGUACCUAAUCAGAAAGCCACGGCUAACUACGUGCCAGCAGCCGCGGUAAUACGUAGGUGGCAAGCGUUAUCCGGAAUUAUUGGGCGUAAAGCGCGCGUAGGCGGUUUUUUAAGUCUGAUGUGAAAGCCCACGGCUCAACCGUGGAGGGUCAUUGGAAACUAGAAAACUUGAGUGCAGAAGAGGAAAGUGGAAUUCCAUGUGUAGCGGUGAAAUGCGCAGAGAUAUGGAGGAACACCAGUGGCGAAGGCGACUUUCUGGUCUGUAACUGACGCUGAUGUGCGAAAGCGUGGGGAUCAAACAGGAUUAGAUACCCUGGUAGUCCACGCCGUAAACGAUGAGUGCUAAGUGUUAGGGGGUUUCCGCCCCUUAGUGCUGCAGCUAACGCAUUAAGCACUCCGCCUGGGGAGUACGACCGCAAGGUUGAAACUCAAAGGAAUUGGCGGGGACCCGCACAAGCGGUGGAGCAUGUGGUUUAAUUCGAAGCAACGCGAAGAACCUUACCAAAUCUUGACAUCCUUUGACAACUCUAGAGAUAGAGCCUUCCCCCUCGGGGGACAAAGUGACAGGUGGUGCAUGGUUGUCGUCAGCUCGUGUCGUGAGAUGUUGGGUUAAGUCCCGCAACGAGCGCAACCCUUAAGCUUAGUUGCCAUCAUUAAGUUGGGCACUCUAAGUUGACUGCCGGUGACAAACCGGAGGAAGGUGGGGAUGACGUCAAAUCAUCAUGCCCCUUAUGAUUUGGGCUACACACGUGCUACAAUGGACAAUACAAAGGGCAGCGAAACCGCGAGGUCAAGCAAAUCCCAUAAAGUUGUUCUCAGUUCGGAUUGUAGUCUGCAACUCGACUACAUGAAGCUGGAAUCGCUAGUAAUCGUAGAUCAGCAUGCUACGGUGAAUACGUUCCCGGGUCU